CUAAACCCAGACUUCUGUGGGAAAGAUACACCUCCCCACCAAAGCAGUUAUAUUCCCUGAAUGAGAACCUCUGGAACCAACGAGGCAUCCCACGGCACCCACCUGCCCCAGCUGAUGAACAUAAAGCAUUCAAUCCAUGCGAGAGCAUAAAAUGACAACCAUGCGCAUGCACUCAUGACCCUCAUUUGUUUACGUGGAAGG